rnacentral:rRNA from 1 species
GACGAACGCUGGCGGCGUGCUUAACACAUGCAAGUCGAACGGAAAGGCCCUGCUUUUGUGGGGUGCUCGAGUGGCGAACGGGUGAGUAACACGUGAGUAACCUCCCCUUGACUUUGGGAUAACUUCAGGAAACUGGGGCUAAUACCGGAUAGGAGCUCCUGCUGCAUGGUGGGGGUUGGAAAGUUUCGGCGGUUGGGGAUGGACUCGCGGCUUAUCAGCUUGUUGGUGGGGUAGUGGCUUACCAAGGCUUUGACGGGUAGCCGGCCUGAGAGGGUGACCGGCCACAUUGGGACUGAGAUACGGCCCAGACUCCUACGGGAGGCAGCAGUGGGGAAUAUUGCACAAUGGGCGGAAGCCUGAUGCAGCAACGCCGCGUGCGGGAUGACGGCCUUCGGGUUGUAAACCGCUUUCGCCUGUGACGAAGCGUGAGUGACGGUAAUGGAUAAAGAAGCACCGGCUAACUACGUG